rnacentral:rRNA from 1 species
UACGUAGGGUGCGAGCGUUAAUCGGAAUUACUGGGCGUAAAGCGUGCGCAGGCGGCUAUUUAAGCUUGCUGUGAAAGCCCCGGGCUUAACCUGGGAACUGCAGUGAGGACUGGAUGGCUGGAGUGUGGCAGAGGGGGGUGGAAUUCCACGUGUAGCAGUGAAAUGCGUAGAGAUGUGGAGGAACACCGAUGGCGAAGGCAGCCCCCUGGGCCAACACUGACGCUCAGGCACGAAAGCGUGGGGAGCAAACAGG